rnacentral:rRNA from 1 species
AACGAACGCUGGCGGCAUGCCUAACACAUGCAAGUCGAACGAGACCUUCGGGUCUAGUGGCGCACGGGUGCGUAACACGUGGGAACCUGCCCUUAGGUUCGGAAUAACUCCCCGAAAGGGGUGCUAAUACCGGUUAAUGUCUUCGGACCAAAGAUUUAUCGCCUUUGGAUGGGCCCGCGUUGGAUUAGCUAGUUGGUAGGGUAAAAGCCUACCAAGGCGACGAUCCAUAGCUGGUCUGAGAGGAUGAUCAGCCACACUGGGACUGAGACACGGCCCAGACUCCGACGGGAGGCAGCAGUGGGGAAUAUUGGACAAUGGGCGAAAGCCUGAUCCAGCAAUGCCGCGUGAGUGAUGAAGGCCUUAGGGUUGUAAAGCUCUUUUACCCGGGAUGAUAAUGACAGUACCGGGAGAAUAAGCUCCGGCUAACUCCGUG